rnacentral:rRNA from 1 species
GGCUCAGGAUGAACGCUGGCGGCGUGCUUAACACAUGCAAGUCGAACGAAGCAUUUAAGACAGAUUACUUCGGUUUGAAGUCUUUUAUGACUGAGUGGCGGACGGGUGAGUAACGCGUGGGUAACCUGCCUCAUACAGGGGGGAUAGCAGCUGGAAACGGCUGGUAAUACCGCAUAAGCGCACGGUAUCGCAUGAUACAGUGUGAAAAACUCCGGUGGUAUAAGAUGGACCCGCGUCUGAUUAGCUGGUUGGUGAGGUAACGGGCCCACCAAGGCGACGAUCAGUAGCCGACCUGAGAGGGUGACCGGCCACAUUGGGACUGAGACACGGCCCAAACUCCUACGGGAGGCAGCAGUGGGGAAUAUUGCACAAUGGGGGAAACCCUGAUGCAGCGACGCCGCGUGAGCGAAGAAGUAUUUCGGUAUGUAAAGCUCUAUCAGCAGGGAAGAAAAAAAUGACGGUACCUGACUAAGAAGCCCCGGCUAACUACGUG